CCUCACUUGCCACCGAUGACGUGUCCGCAAUGUACCGUUCGCUGCUUGCUUGCUCUUCCAACGUGUCACCAGAUCGCCAUGAUGCAUGUGGCCGCGUCCAACGUCGUCGAAGAUGCUCGAAGAAUCCGGGGGAAGAAGUGAGCCAUCGCGAGUGUUUGGAUUAUGUCAUCACUGCUUGGAAAUGUCAGUUUUCCAAUUUUACUUCGCUGCAGGUUUUGCUUUCCGCAAUUCCGCUCCGCUUAGCGCCUCAACACCGCAACUGAACACGCAGCCAUGCAAGCAGAUCACAUAAUGGGCGAAUAACUUUCUCUUCCCUUUGUCGACGAGAGAAAUAUAUGGAAGAAACUUUAUUAUUUCAAUGAUCAUAAUAACACUUCAUUGUUUCAUAGCGAAGUAAAAUUAUCGCAUAAUAUACGAGUAUAAAAUAACAAUAUUAUUCUAUCCUAUAAGUCUUUGCAUAACGUAACUGAAUCAAUAAUUGCAUAGACAUUGAUUCAAUAUGUAGUAUAUUGUGUCUAAUGCUCGGUUUUGCAAACCAUGAUGCAUUGGUAAUAUCCACUUUUCAUUAGCCUAAAAUUAAUUAACUCCCGAUAUCUUACUUAGUUAUACAUGAUAAUAAGCGCUGUUUAACAAUAUA